rnacentral:RNase_P_RNA from 1 species
GAAGCUGGCCAGACAGUCGCCGCGCACGCAAGUGGAAUUCGGGGAAAUCCGAAUUCACCUUCGGCGGGGAGGAAAGUCCGGGCUCCAUAGAGCAGAAUGCCGGUUAAUGGCCGGACACCGUGAGGUGAUGGAAAGUGCCACAGAAAAUAAACCGCCGAUGGCCGGACUUUUUUACCCGCAAGGGUGGUCAAGUCGGGAUCAGGUAAGGGCGAAACGGUGCGGUAAGAGCGCACCGCACUCACGGUAACGGGAGUGGCAGGGCAAACCCCAUUCGGAGCAAGAUCAAAUAGGCUGACUAUGGCGUGGCUCGCGUCGUCAGCGGGUAGAUUGCUUGAGCGUAAGGUAACGAAACGCCUAGAGGAAUGACUGUCCACGACAGAACCCGGCUUAUCGGCCAGCUUCACCU